rnacentral:rRNA from 1 species
CGGGUGAGUAAUGUAUGGGGAUCUGCCUGAUGGCGGGGGAUAACUACUGGAAACGGUAGCUAAUACCGCAUAAUGUCUGCGGACCAAAGCGGGGGACCUCCGGGCCCCGCGCCAUCAGAUGAACCCAUAUGGGAUUAGCUUGUAGGUAAGGUAACGGCUUACCUAGGCGACGAUCCCUAGCUGGUCUGAGAGGAUGAUCAGCCACACUGGGACUGAGACACGGCCCAG